rnacentral:rRNA from 1 species
ACGGGAGGCAGCAGUGAGGAAUAUUGGUCAAUGGGCGAGAGCCUGAACCAGCCAAGUCGCGUGAAGGAUGAAGGUUCUAUGGAUUGUAAACUUCUUUCAUUCGAGGGUAAAGUGAGGGUUGUGACCCUUAUUGCAAGUAUCGAAUGAAUAAGCAUCGGCUAACUCCGUGCCAGCAGCCGCGGUAAUACGGAGGAUGCGAGCGUUAUCCGGAUUUAUUGGGUUUAAAGGGUGCGUAGGCGGGAUGUUAAGUCAGCGGUGAAAGUUUGCGGCUCAACCGUAAAAUUGCCGUUGAAACUGGCGUUCUUGAGUGUAAACGAGGUAGGCGGAAUGUGCCAUGUAGCGGUGAAAUGCUUAGAUAUGUCACAGAACCCCGAUUGCGAAGGCAGCUUACCAGCAUACAACUGACGCUGAGGCACGAAAGCGUGGGUAUCAAACAGGAUUAGAUACCCUGGUA